UUCUGGUGCUUUGACGGCGGAGUCACAUCUCUUCCCAUUCCGAACAGAGCAAUUAAGCCCGCUAGUGCCGAUGAUAGUCUUUAUUGGCGAAAGUAGGUAGGCGCCAGAACA
rnacentral:rRNA from 1 species